CAUUUUUACAUUUCAGACUUUUCCAGGAACCCUUGAAGAGGCUGUGGUUUCUUGGCAUUGUGCCUACCAGGCCAAAUGCAUGGAUGGAACGAACCCACCCAUCAUCCAUGUCCAGCAGCCCACUGAUGCCCGCAAGUUCCACUCUUAGGCUCCCAGUCUUGGACCUCUGAGCUCAUGAGGGUGGACAGUCUGGAAGCUCUGGGGCCAAAACUUCCUUCCAACCACUGCUAGGCUGGGUCUACACCUUCCCUCAUACCACCUUGAGACAAGCUGACUUCUCACCCCGGUCAUGACAGGGUCCUGCAUGGGCCCAGAGUAGCUGGCACACCUCCUCUCCACCCACUAAGAGGCUUCUGCUGGGUCCACCACCUC
rnacentral:lncRNA from 1 species